rnacentral:lncRNA from 1 species
UGUUAGAAUUUAAGUCCUUAGGAAUAAGAAUAGCAUUUCUUUUUUUUGUGGGAAAGCGUAAUGAUUUUGAGCUUUGAGGAGUUUCAAUGGACUAUUGUUGCCUUUUUUUUUUCACAACGCUCCUACCCACCAAGUCCCACUGUGACACACUUCCUACCCCCAAUGGCAGAUAUUUAUAUUUCAAACUAAAUGAAACUAUAAUAAAUUUUCUUCUGAAAAAUUUUUGGAAUUUUGUCUUUGAGAUCUAUGAGGUAAUUGGAGAAACCCCAGGCUAUCAGAAAACCAGGGCUGGGAAUCACUGCUUUCAUGAUUAGCACUUUGUAAGCCUUCAAAAAUUAUUAAAACCAGUAUAGAUUGUCUAAUUUCUGGUGGGUGAAUUCACUUUAGUAUAAUGUAACGUGUUAACAAAUGUUCAGAGAGGACGUUGUGGAUCCAGAAAGAUGGCUUUUGCAGAAGGCUUUUAUCCAAAUUAAUUCAAAGAAUAACAGGAGUAGUUGUGUAUCGGGGCAGAAGGAAUAAGGUGACUCAAUUAAAUGAUUGAGAAAUCUCCAGGAAAAAAAAAUGUCUCAUGUCAACCCAAUACCAACAAUAGAAUUCUCAUUACUAAAAUCAAUAAUCCUGUAAUAAAUGUAUAAUAACUUCAAAAACGAUUCUUUUAUUAAAUAUUUUUGUAUGAUUGGCUAUGCACCAAAUAUUGAAAGCAAAUACUGCUUUUCUUUACUUUAAGGAUGACCAAGUUCUCUUCUAUGUCUCUAAGAGAAUCUCAAGUGAGAAGGGUCCAAAGGGUAAUUUGCAAAUAAAUUCACCUGCUGAAUUUGUGCCUAGACCUACUAGAUUCACCUAAUUCAUUUUUGGUUUUUGCUGAGCUCUAGCCAUGGUGUCAUACUGAGAAAUUCAUGCCAAGUUCUCCUGGGUUGCUGGAAUGUGAAUAAGGAAGGGUAGCUCAAGCCCCAGGCUUUGGGUCCCCCUCAGUGGGGGUCUUUGGAGUUGGUCUCCGGCAGUGCCUGAAGAACCUUGGUCUGGCUAAUUGGUACUGCUAGUCUGUUGCCAUUUCACGAAGCCAGAAAAGCAGUGUGGUCCCUUUCCACAUUCAGAGUUGAGCCCAACACACUAGUAGUCCUGGACUGAGAGAGUUCAGUUUCCGUCAAUUUUGACACUAUCACUUAGAUCGGCUUUUAGAGGUAGAUUAAGGACAUUUCUGUAGUGUUCACAGAUAUACAAUUCACGGACCUACAACUGUAUAUGCAGUUUGAAAAGAAAUUUGCUUAAGUAAACAGGUAGAUGGAGAGAGGAUAUGCUGUCCUGAAAACACUUCUGUUUUGUCAUUUGGCAGGGAUGUCUGGUUUGGGCUUCCUGAGUUUUUGCCUGGUGUUCUGCAGGGAAAUUUGCAUUCCAAAAGAUAGGCCAGCCUGCCUUCCUGCUUCUGAAACCUCUAGAAGGUGCUCUGAUAUAAUAGAGGAUCCCCUCAGCCUGUUUCAAGAGAUAAUCCCCUACCACCUGGUUACUCCAGGUCAUAUCUGGUUAACACUCUAGGUGUCUUGCAUAUAUUUUCCUUAUAACUUUUUCUGAGGAAUAAGGGCCCUACUUCCUUUAAAAAAGGAUGUCAAAUAUACCUUAAUAAGGCUUAAAAAACAGAGAGAGAGAGUUUAUCUAAUGUUAUUUGGAAAAGAAUCUCCUUCGUUUUUUCUCUUUUGUGAUAUGCUCCAUGAUUUUUAUUAUUUUGGAGAUUUUUUUUUAUUGCAGUAACAUUGGUUUAUAACAUCAUGUAAAUUUCACGUGGACAUCAUUACCUUUUCAUUUUUAACCUUUCCUUAUCUUUAGUAUCGAGCCCUACAGGUACAAACCCAAGCGAAGAACUGCUUCCCACCCACAGUGAUGCUGUGCUCCUGAAGGUCCCAGCCUCUGCACACUUUUCCUUUCGUUCAUUUUUUUCUCACUGUAGUGAAAUUUUCAUUCCUGUAGUUUACCUCUUAGCUCCCCCUUAUUUUUCUAUUUAUAUCUCAUAUUUUAGGACUUGCUUGGAGUGCAAAAUGUGUUGCAAACUUGAGAGAGAACAGAACUAGAUAAGUUCAUGAAAUAUUGCCCUUUCUUUCCUAUUCUAGAAUUACUUAGAACGGGAGCAAUGGAACUUUUUGGAUCGGUCCUGUUCUGCUUUGGGCUACUUAGGCUUCUGCUAUAUGGCUCAGGUCAUGGGCACCAGAUGCCAAUGGUACUAAGGUCAAGGGUUUGAUCCUCACUUGGGCUGGUUUGCUGCAUACUUUUCCAAUAGGUUGUAUGGAGAUUCAGUUCCGUCACUGCAGAAAUGCUAAUCAUAAAGGGGAUUGGUGAACUUAUGAGUGACCAGGUGAAUAUCCAGCCCCAUUCCUGCAAAAACAAAGUCUGUGCCCUACUGUCAUUUUUGCAUUUGGACAGAGCGUGCCACUUAAAACAUGAGCUUGUUACUCAACCUCCCUGCCUCUCUGUUUCCUCAUCUGUAGAAUGGAGAUAAGACGUGCUCCCUUUUUACCUCACCAGGACCUGUGAAGAUUAGAUAAUGGCUGUAAAGUCAAAGGUAUAAGCAUUAUCACGAACAAGGAGAUUAGUCAACAAAUGAAAAAAAAUUUAAGGGACCCCCCAAAGUGUAUUGCUCAAUACUUUUUGAAUCAAUAUGAGCAGUUUGCAGUCCAAUCCAUUCUGUUUGGUUGAGCUGCAAAAAGUUAGGUGUGAAUGUUUGACCUUUCUAUUUAUUUGAAAGGUUAAAAAAGCUGUUUGAUAAUGAACAUUUAUAUUAAGAAAAAUAAAGUGGGCUUUGAAUCUGAAACAGGUUUUAUCUGAAAAACAAGGUGAAGACGAAGGUCUCUAGGAACAUGCGUGCCACUGAGGAGUAUUUGCAUACAUUUGAUCUGCGACAUGCCUCAGUGACUUUCACAGUGUACCUUGGAGUUUAAGCUGUAGCAAAGAGCCACUGCCAGGGCUCGGCAGCAGAGUUCCUUCUCUCCAGCUUUAUUGUGGCACACAGCGACAACUUCAUUUUUAGAAUUAAAAAAAAAAAAGUCCUCUUCACUUAAUUCAGACAGUGACCUGCAGGCCUCAUUCCGACUGAAGGAGCCAUUCAGAAUACUUCCAGACAAAAGCAGGGCUUUUUCCUAGCAACCAGAUCAAAGCCAAAUCUCCCAGAAUAGCUCGCUCCCAGGUUUCCUUUGGUGCAUAGGUUCACAAGGAUUCUAAGGCUCGUGGUAUCCAGUUCAAACUCCUCUUUCAAACUGAAAUGGAAAGGAAAACUCCUGAGGAAUUCUCACAGACUCUGAAAACUGGUCUUGGAUUUGAUGACUGGAGUGUCCUUUGAGUGGAAUUUCUGUCUUAACUCUGCUCUGGAGGACAGCGAGUUUAGGAAGCCUUGCUGAUCUGAAUGUCUUGACCACUGCAUUCUGGCUUCUGUCUUUUUUUUUACAGCUGAGGUUAGACUUAACUCCGGAAGUUGUGAAUUGGAAAAGAUGGCAGCAACUGGCACGUGCUUGGAGUGGGUAGAAAUUGCUUAUUUCCUCGCAGAGCUAUGGGUUCUUAAAACAAUUUCUAAUAGCAGCAGCAGAAGAAUUUACUAACAAUCCACAGUGUCUUUUUUGUCCAGGAUAAAGGAAAUGUUUAAUAAACAAAUUCAAAAUAAAGUUAGCGUUAACAUUU